AGAGUUUGAUCAUGGCUCAGAUUGAACGCUGGCGGCAUGCCUUACACAUGCAAGUCGAGCGGCAGCGCGGGGGCAACCCUGGCGGCGAGCGGCGAACGGGUGAGUAAUGCAUCGGAACGUGUCCUCUUGUGGGGGAUAACCAGUCGAAAGACUGGCUAAUACCGCAUGAGAUCGAGAGAUGAAAGCAAGGGACCGCAAGGCCUUGCGCGAGAGGAGCGGCCGAUGCCGGAUUAGCUAGUUGGUGGGGUAACGGCCUACCAAGGCGACGAUCCGUAGCUGGUCUGAGAGGACGACCAGCCACACUGGGACUGAGACACGGCCCAGACUCCUACGGGAGGCAGCAGUGGGGAAUUUUGGACAAUGGGGGCAACCCUGAUCCAGCCAUGCCGCGUGUGUGAAGAAGGCCUUCGGGUUGUAAAGCACUUUCGGACGGAACGAAAUCGCGCGAGUUAAUAGUUCGCGUGGAUGACGGUACCGUAAGAAGAAGCACCGGCUAACUACGUGCCAGCAGCCGCGGUAAUACGUAGGGUGCGAGCGUUAAUCGGAAUUACUGGGCGUAAAGUGUGCGCAGGCGGCUCCGCAAGUCGAGUGUGAAAUCCCCGAGCUUAACUUGGGAAUUGCGCUCGAAACUACGGAGCUGGAGUGUGGCAGAGGAAGGUGGAAUUCCACGUAGCGGUGAAAUGCGUAGAUAUGUGGAGGAACACCGAUGGCGAAGGCAGCCUUCUGGGCCAACACUGACGCUCAUGCACGAAAGCGUGGGGAGCAAACAGGAUUAGAUACCCUAGUAGUCC
rnacentral:rRNA from 1 species